rnacentral:lncRNA from 1 species
AAGUAGCAUAAUUUAUGGGAAAAUGUGUGAAUCUAAAUGUAGUAUUAUAAUUCAGAUUUUCCUACAGAAACAAAAGGUUGCCAUACAAAAAAAAAAUUGUUUUAAUCUCUGUUCCAUAUUUAAUGUUUUAUUGUUUUACCACAGUUGGCUUUAAAAAAAAAAAGAAACAAAAAAUUGACUUUAUAUUUGCAGGAGGUUAGCCGUGGGCCAGAACAAUAUAUAAAAAUAAAAGUAUACAGGGUGACAGUCGGGGCUGUAUCUUUCCUCUCACAUACAAAUAAUCCAGCAUCCGGGAUACAAUUAAACUGAAACACAUUUACCGAGAUGGAACCUUUUAUCCGCGCUAGAUUCUAUGAACCACAUGUUCCUACGUGAUGAGUUGAAGAGCAAUUUUUGGAUCGUAAUUGCUUUUUUUCCCUGUCUGUGCGUGCCAGGGGGAUUGGCUACAUGCAAAACAUGAGGGCAUUUAAGACUGUUUGUCCUCUGCGAAAUGAGCUGCAUUUGGACAUCACCACCGCUGUCAAGGUAACAAUGAGCGUGCAAUUUCAAAUUUGUUUGGGAGUUGGGUGGAGAGGAUUCGAACUGUCUUUUGUACAGUUUGUUACUUUUGUGCUGUGAAAACAGGCCUGAUGUGGUGCACAAUGCUUUCUAAUCCAGUGUGGGCUUGUCUGUAUGUUGAAAAAUUCAUUGAUUUUUUUUUUUUCCAGGUUUGGAUCUCCAAAAAUAAAAAUAAAAAAAAUUAAAUUUUAGCCUCAAAUCAAAAUUUUUACAACCUUUAUGUUCUAUUUAAUUGACAGAAAGGAGCGGCUGAGUGGUAUGAAAGCUUAAUUGCCCGCUAUAAACCAGAGGAAGGGGUAAGUUUGUGACCUUUCAUUACUGAAAGCCUUUGUUUGGGGGCUUAAAAAGGUAAAUUUUUGGAUGAAACUCUAUUAUUUUAUUGCUGCAGACGCUGGAGGAGCAGCUGAAGAAGCUGGUUCAGAUCAUCGACGCCGUGUGUGCAGAUGUGCAGAGAGCACAGAACAUCUACAACAAACUCUUUUACAGUGCGGUCAAAGUAGACUUCUUCAGCGUUUCAUACCGGCAGUUGGAGAAACAGGUGCGACUUUGAAACAUCUUCUUUGUGAGCAAUCUCUGUUGCUUAAUUCCUGUCAGGCGCCCUGA